rfam:Colletotrichum higginsianum, IMI 349063, WGS project CACQ02000000 data, contig: cont1.2938
GGCCGGUUGGCCCAAUGGCAAGGCGUCUGACUACGAUUCAAUGUGUAAUCAGGAGAUUCUGGGUUCGACCCCCAGGCUGGUCA